rnacentral:misc_RNA from 1 species
AAUAUUAGGAUGCAAAGUAAAAAACAGUGCAUCCAGUUAACUACUUCUGCAGUCCUACUCCUACCAUUCAUAAGAAAUCGCCACGAAUGAAGGACCAAUGAUGAUAUGUAUGGCUCUUCAUGCUUGUUCCCAUGAACUACUAACACAGUUCCACUUAUCUUUUAACAAAGAAUACCACAAAAUGAAUGGCCAAAUAAAGAUAAAAUUCUAGAGAGGCCAUAA